rnacentral:snRNA from 1 species
AUUGCUUCUCGGCCUUUUGGCUAAGAUCAAGUGUAAAAACUUUCAAAACUAUAUUUGCUAGUUACAUAUUGUUUCAACAGUUUUAAGGUAAGUUUUCAUUUGGAAACAUGAAUGCCCACCACACAAAAAUAACUUUACUGUAUCUUUUGCUGCUGUGGGAUUUAU